rnacentral:rRNA from 1 species
GACGAACGCUGGCGGCGUGCUUAACACAUGCAAGUCGAACGGAAAGGCCCUGCUUUUGUUUGGUUCUCGAGUGGCGAACGGGUGAGUAACACGUGAGUAACCUGCCCUUGACUUUGGGAUAACUUCAGGAAACUGGGGCUAAUACCGGAUAUGAGCUCCUGCUGCAUGUUGGUGGUUGGAAAGUUUCGGCUGUUUGGGAUGUACUCGCAGCUUAUCAGCUUGUUUGUGGUGUAGUUGCUUACCAAGGCUUUGACGGGUAGCCUGCAUGAGAAGGGGACCGGGGACAAUGGGACUGAGAGACGCACCAGAAGCGUACGGGAGGCAGCAGUGGGAAGCCUGGCGGAAUGACGCGACGUGUGAUGUAGAAGCGUCGCGUGCGGGAAGCCGGCUUUCGGGGUGAAAACAGAUGUGGACUUUGAUGAACAGUGAGUGACGGUAACGGGUAAAGAAGCAACGGCUAACUACGUG